rnacentral:tRNA from 1 species
GAUUGCUUAGCUUAUUAAGCACAUGCCUUGAAAGCAUUAGAUAGAAAAUUACCAUUCUAGUAAUCU